rnacentral:rRNA from 1 species
GUGGGGAAUUGUUCGCAAUGGGCGCAAGCCUGACGACGCAACGCCGCGUGGAGGACGAAGAUCUUCGGGUCGUAAACUCCUGUCGAGUGGGAAGAAUGGAUCGGGGAUGAAUAAUCUCCGGUAUUGACGGUACCACUAAAGGAAGCCCCGGCUAACUCCGUGCCAGCAGCCGCGGUAAUACGGGGGGGGCAAGCGUUGUUCGGAAUUACUGGGCGUAAAGGGCUCGUAGGCGGCCAACUAAGUCGGACGUGAAAUCCCCAGGCUCAACCUGGGAACUGCGUCCGAUACUGGAUGGCUUGAAUUCGGGAGAGGGAUGCAGAAUUCCAGGUGUAGCGGUGAAAUGCGUAGAUAUCUGGAGGAAUACCGGUGGCGAAGGCGGCAUCCUGGACCGACAUUGACGCUGAGGAGCGAAAGCUAGGGGAGCAAACGGGAUUAGAUACCCCGGUAGUCC